UUUACAUGUGGCCAUAACCAUAAAGUCACAAGUUAGUUAUGCAAUGUCAAUGCCAGAAAAAAGAUUGAAAGAGUAAAAAAAAAAAAAAAAAAAAGAACUGUCAGUGGAUCGACAUGUGCACGACCUGUGAGAAAUUGCCACGUAAAUUAUUAAAUGUGAGCAGAUUUAUGAAAUUUGCUUGAGAAAUGAGUGCCAAAUAUUAAAACUAUAUUAGGAGCAAUCCGAUCCGCAGCACUACAAUCGUAAUACGUAACAGAAGAACAAAAAAGAAUAUACUGAGUACCCACAUACAAACAAUAGCAAAAGAAAUAAAAUAAAAUAAAAUAAAAACCAUGUCCAAAACUAACGGUGCCAAAUAAUUGAGGACCGCACACUAGGAGUUGGAGAAAUUCAGAUGUGGCUAGUGGUGGAAGUGGACCCGCCCCCAGGCAUGCCGUGCGUACAUUUAAGGGCACGCAAAGGAGGAGGCAGGUCAUUCCAACAUUUAGAAGCAGCAAACCUGAAGGAGCCUCUAAAAGCCGCAGUAUGAUGUUUGGGAGUGUUAAAGACAUGGGUACAUUCUCUUCUGGGAUAUCGGCUCAGCUCACGUGCCCACUCCAGCUUCGAGAAAAGAGAGCCGCUAGUCAUUGUGCUGCGAGGCCGAACACCCUACCAAUGUCGUCCAUCGAACGCAGCUGAAAGACCUGGGAACCGUCACCUCUGCGCGCGAAGAUGCGUCCCCUCCUCGUCCAGGAGUACUUCCACUGGAGGCGGCGGCACUCCUCGCGCACCCUGUGGAAGAGCUGACGGUUGGAGCGCGUCAGGCGCUCAUUCACGAAGACCCGACGCCCGCCCUCCGCCGCGACGC